rnacentral:piRNA from 1 species
UACCCAAUACAUGCUAGCCAGUAGAGGAA